AGAGUUUGAUCCUGGCUCAGGAUGAACGCUGGCGGCGUGCUUAACACAUGCAAGUCGAACGAACCUUCGGGUUAGUGGCGGACGGGUGAGUAACGCGUGAGAAUCUGCCCUCAGGAGGGGGAUAACGGCUGGAAACGGCCGCUAAUACCCCAUAUGCCGAGAGGUGAAAUGAAUUUCGCCUGAGGAUGAGCUCGCGUCUGAUUAGCUAGUUGGUGUGGUAAAGGCUCACCAAGGCAUCGAUCAGUAGCUGGUCUGAGAGGGUGAUCAGCCACACUGGGACUGAGACACGGCCCAGACUCCUACGGGAGGCAGCAGUGGGGAAUUUUCCGCAAUGGGCGCAAGCCUGACGGAGCAACGCCGCGUGAGGGAUGAAGGCCUCUGGGCUGUAAACCUCUUUUAUCAAGGAAGAAGAUCUGACGGUACUUGAUGAAUAAGCCACGGCUAAUUCCGUGCCAGCAGCCGCGGUAAUACGGGAGUGGCAAGCGUUAUCCGGAAUUAUUGGGCGUAAAGCGUCCGCAGGCGGUCUUGAAAGUCUGUUGUUAAAGCGUGGAGCUCAACUCCAUUUCAGCAAUGGAAACUAGAAGACUAGAGUGUGGUAGGGGCAGGGGGAAUUCCCGGUGUAGCGGUGAAAUGCGUAGAUAUCGGGAAGAACACCAGUGGCGAAGGCGCUCUGCUGGGCCAUAACUGACGCUCAUGGACGAAAGCCAGGGGAGCGAAAGGGAUUAGAUACCCCUGUAGUCCUGGCCGUAAACGAUGAACACUAGGUGUCGGGGGAAUCGACCCCCUCGGUGUCGUAGCCAACGCGUUAAGUGUUCCGCCUGGGGAGUACGCACGCAAGUGUGAAACUCAAAGGAAUUGACGGGGGCCCGCACAAGCGGUGGAGUAUGUGGUUUAAUUCGAUACAACGCGAAGAACCUUACCAGGGUUUGACAUCCUGCGAAUCCCUUGGAAACUUGGGAGUGCCUUCGGGAGCGCAGUGACAGGUGGUGCAUGGCUGUCGUCAGCUCGUGUCGUGAGAUGUUGGGUUAAGUCCCGCAACGAGCGCAACCCACGUCUUUAGUUGCCAGCAUUAAGUUGGGCACUCUAGAGAGACUGCCGGUGAUAAACCGGAGGAAGGUGUGGACGACGUCAAGUCAUCAUGCCCCUUACAUCCUGGGCUACACACGUACUACAAUGCUACGGACAAAGGGCAGCAAACUCGCGAGAGCUAGCAAAUCCCAUAAACCGUGGCUCAGUUCAGAUCGUAGGCUGCAACUCGCCUACGUGAAGGAGGAAUCGCUAGUAAUCGCAGGUCAGCAUACUGCGGUGAGUACGUUCCCGGGCCUUGUACACACCGCCCGUCACACCAUGGGAGUUGGUUGCACCAGAAGUAGAUAGCCUAACCUUCGGGAGGGCGUUUACCA
rnacentral:rRNA from 1 species